rnacentral:rRNA from 1 species
UGGGGAAUAUUGCACAAUGGGGGAAACCCUGAUGCAGCGACGCCGCGUGGAGGAAGAAGGUUUUCGGAUUGUAAACUCCUGUCGUUAGGGACGAUAAUGACGGUACCUAACAAGAAAGCACCGGCUAACUACGUGCCAGCAGCCGCGGUAAAACGUAGGGUGCAAGCGUUGUCCGGAAUUACUGGGUGUAAAGGGAGCGCAGGCGGGAAGACAAGUUGGAAGUGAAAACCAUGGGCUCAACCCAUGAAUUGCUUUCAAAACUGUUUUUCUUGAGUAGUGCAGAGGUAGAUGGAAUUCCCGGUGUAGCGGUGGAAUGCGUAGAUAUCGGGAGGAACACCAGUGGCGAAGGCGGUCUACUGGGCACCAACUGACGCUGAGGCUCGAAAGCAUGGGUAGCAAACAGGAUUAGAUACCCUGGUAGUCCAUGCCGUAAACGAUGAUUACUAGGUGUUGGGGGAUUGACCCCCUCAGUGCCGCAGUUAACACAAUAAGUAAUCCACCUGGGGAGUACGACCGCAAGGUUGAAACUCAAAGGAAUUGACGGGGGCCCGCACAAGCAGUGGAGUAUGUGGUUUAAUUCGACGCAACGCGAAGAACCUUACCAAGUCUUGACAUCCAUCGACGACUAUAGAAAUAUAGUUUUCCUUCGGGACGGUGAGACAGGUGGUGCAUGGUUGUCGUCAGCUCGUGUCGUGAGAUGUUGGGUUAAGUCCCGCAACGAGCGCAACCCUUAUGGCCAGUUACUACGAAAGAGGACUCUGGCGAGACUGCCGUUGACAAAACGGAGGAAGGUGGGGAUGACGUCAAAUCAUCAUGCCCCUUAUGAUUUGGGCUACACACGUGCUACAAUGGCAGUUACAAAGAGAAGCAAACCUGUGAAGGUGAGCAAACCUCAAAAAGGCUGUCUCAGUUCGGAUUGUAGUCUGCAACUCGACUACAUGAAGCUGGAAUCGCUAGUAAUCGCAGAUCAGCAUGCUGCGGUGAAUACGUUCCC